rnacentral:rRNA from 1 species
AUUGAACGCUGGCGGCAUGCCUAACACAUGCAAGUCGAACGGCAGCACGGCAGUAGCAAUACUGUGGGUGGCGAGUGGCGGACGGGUGAGGAAUACGUCGGAAUCUGCCCAGUCGUGGGGGAUAACUAGCCGAAAGGUUAGCUAAUACCGCAUACGACCGAGAGGUGAAAGCGGGGGACCGCAAGGCCUCGCGCGAUUGGAUGAGCCGACGUCGGAUUAGCUAGUUGGUGGGGUAAAGGCCCACCAAGGCGACGAUCCGUAGCUGGUCUGAGAGGAUGAUCAGCCACACUGGAACUGAGACACGGUCCAGACUCCUACGGGAGGCAGCAGUGGGGAAUAUUGGACAAUGGGCGCAAGCCUGAUCCAGCAAUGCCGCGUGUGUGAAGAAGGCCUCGUGUAGUAGACUUA